rnacentral:lncRNA from 1 species
CAGGGGAAAGAGCCACCCUCUCCUGCAGGGCCAGUCAGAGUGUUAGCAGCAGCUACUUAGCCUGGUACCAGCAGAAACCUGGCCAGGCUCCCAGGCUCCUCAUCUAUGGUGCAUCCAGCAGGGCCACUGGCAUCCCAGACAGGUUCAGUGGCAGUGGGUCUGGGACAGACUUCACUCUCACCAUCAGCAGACUGGAGCCUGAAGAUUUUGCAGUGUAUUACUGUCAGCAGUAUGGUAGCUCACCUCCCACAGU